UGGGGAAUAUUGGACAAUGGGGGAAACCCUGAUCCAGCAAUGCCGCGUGAGUGAAGAAGGCCUUAGGGUUGUAAAGCUCUUUCGCCCGCGAAGAUAAUGACGGUAGCGGGAGAAGAAGCCCCGGCUAACUCCGUGCCAGCAGCCGCGGUAAUACGGAGGGGGCUAGCGUUGUUCGGAAUUACUGGGCGUAAAGCGUACGUAGGCGGACGCGCAAGUUGGGGGUGAAAUCCCGGGGCUUAACCUCGGAAUUGCCCUCAAAACUGCACGUCUUGAGACCGAGAGAGGUAAGGGGAAUUCCUAGUGUAGAGGUGAAAUUCGUAGAUAUUAGGAAGAACACCAGUGGCGAAGGCGCCUUACUGGCUCGGUACUGACGCUGAGGUACGAAAGCGUGGGGAGCAAAC
rnacentral:rRNA from 1 species